UCUUUGGUGGUCCAGGAGUUAAAACUCUGUGCUCUCAAUGCAGGGGGUCCAGGUUUGAUCCCUGGUCAGGGAA
rfam:TPA: Bos taurus chromosome 1, whole genome shotgun sequence.